CUGUGGUCUAGUGGUUAAGGAGUCGGACUUCUGCAGUGCUAUGGGAUGUAGCUGCGGGGAACGUGCAGGGGUUCGAUUCCUCCCUCCUGC
rnacentral:tRNA from 16 species